rnacentral:rRNA from 1 species
AGAGGUGGGGGAUAGCCAUCCGAAAGGAUGGGUAAUACCGCGUAAGCUCGUCGGAGUCAAGCCCGACGAGGAAAGCAGCAAUGCGCCUUUGGAGGGGCUCGCGGCCCAUCAGGUAGUUGGUGAGGUAACGGCCCACCAAGCCGAUGACGGGUAGCUGGUCUGAGAGGAUGAUCAGCCAGACUGGGACUGAGAGACGGCCCAGACUCCUACGGGGGGCAGCAGGGGGGAAUCUUGCACAAUGGGGGAAACCCUGAUGCAGCGACGCCGCGUGGAGGACGAAGGUCUUCGGAUCG